UGUUCUUAGUAUGAGCAGUUAUACAGCGAAGCUGCGAAUACUCAUAUCAUAAGUAUCGUUCAGUUGAUAGUACUUGACUACUUGAUGAUCGUCGUCAAUACUAGUAGCUACUACAUGCUGAAAAAUCCGUACGUCGGAAGGGAUGUAUUUUAUUCAGAUUAAACAACCAAUGGCCCUCUGGGCUCUACUGCUGAUUCGAUGAUAACCUUCUCGAAUUGCAUGACCAUAGCGCCCGGCGAUGGCUGCAUUCAAAUUUCUUGCCCUAUCAUCUUUCGAUGUUUCGGGUAUUGACCAAACAUGGUCGCAACGGGUAACGGAGGGUUAGGGCUCGACCCCGGAGAAGGAGCCUGAGAAACGGCUACUACAUCCAAGGAAGGCAGCAGGCGCGCAAAUUAUCCAAUCCCGACACGGGGAGGUAGUGACAACAAAUACUGAUACAGGGCUCUUUCGGGUCUUGUAAUUGGAAUGAGUACAAUUUAAAUCCCUUAACGAGGAACAAUUGGAGGGCAAGUCUGGUGCCAGCAGCCGCGGUAAUUCCAGCUCCAAUAGCGUAUAUUAAAGUUGUUGUGGUUAAAAAGCUCGUAGUUGAACCUUGGGCCUGGCUGGCCGGUCCGCCUCACCGCGUGUACUGGUCCGGCCGGGCCUUUCCCUCUGUGGAACCUCAUCCCCUUCACUGGGCGUGACGGGGAAACAGGACUUUUACUGUGAAAAAAUUAGAGUGCUCCAGGCAGGCCUAUGCUCGAAUACAUUAGCAUGGAAUAAUGAAAUAGGACGUGCGGUUCUAUUUUGUUGGUUUCUAGGACCGCCGUAAUGAUUAAUAGGGACAGUCGGGGGCAUCAGUAUUCAAUUGUCAGAGGUGAAAUUCUUGGAUUUAUUGAAGACUAACUACUGCGAAAGCAUUUGCCAAGGAUGUUUUCAUUAAUCAGGAACGAAAGUUAGGGGAUCGAAGACGAUCAGAUACCGUCGUAGUCUUAUCCAUAAACUAUGCCGAUUAGGGAUCA
rnacentral:rRNA from 1 species